rnacentral:lncRNA from 12 species
GUGUUUGGGUGCAUCUCCUACUCUAAUGUACCACAAAUAGUUUUUUUCCCUUGCUAAUUAUUACUCUCAACUCUCAUUCCAACGACCCCCAUUCACUGCAGUGAGCAAGUGAUGUAAGGCUAAAUUUCUCCAAAUCUUUUCCGAUGAGGAAACAAACAAAUCUUGGAUGACCUGAGGAUGAACUGAACCCAGAUCAGAUGAUGGGCUGGUGCUGUGUGUCUCUGGCUCACGCUCCUCAUUAACAGCUUGGCUCUCCCUGGGGGACAGCAGGAUCUGCCUGACAUUUUUCUGACCAGGAACAUACCGCAGAGAGACACUGCAGGAAGAGGAAUGCAAGCCAAAGAUCAGAUUCGAAAUGAGAUCAUUGGAAGCAUCACGCCUGAGAUUUUAUACUACGAGAAUUCUUCAAAAUUUCUUCUUUUAUGGUAGAAGAAAGAAGUCAUAAAGGUUUGGAAAGACAUGAGGGUAAGUAAAAUAUCUCUUCAACACACAGUUCCAGGGGGACUGACAGUGACUCAGAUGUGCUACUGUUCCCUGCUUCAUUUUUAACAUUUUAGUUUGUCAUUCUUCAAAACAGUCAUUUUGGUUUCUAUGAAGAGAGAUGGGCAAGUAAGGUUGUGUGUUUUAAGUCUUUUUGAUGCAACCUCGGCAUCUCAGAAGACUGUCCACAAAAU